UCAAUUAUUUAUAGCCUCUGGCUAUAGGAAAUUGUUAGUGGCAGACGGGUGAGUAAUGCGUAGGAAUCUACCUAGUAGUACGGAAUAGCCAUUAGAAAUGGUGGGUAAUACUGUAUAAUCCCCGAGGGGGAAAGAUUUAUCGCUAUUAGAUGAGCCUACGUUAGAUUAGCUAGUUGGUGAGGUAAUGGCUUACCAAGGCUAUGAUCUAUAGCUGGUCUGAGAGGACGAUCAGCCACACUGGAACUGAGAUACGGUCCAGACUCCUACGGGAGGCAGCAGUGGGGAAUAUUGGACAAUGGGCGAAAGCCUGAUCCAGCUAUGCCGCGUGAGUGAAGAAGGCCUUCGGGUUGCAAAACUCUUCCAAUAGGGAAGAUAAUGACGGUACCUAUAA
rnacentral:rRNA from 1 species